UUCCAGACUCCUACGGGAGGCAGCAGUGGGGAAUAUUGCACAAUGGGGGAAACCCUGAUGCAGCGACGCCGCGUGAGUGAAGAAGUAUUUCGGUAUGUAAAGCUCUAUCAGCAGGGAAGAAAAUGACGGUACCUGAUUAAGAAGCCCCGGCUAACUACGUGCCAGCAGCCGCGGUAAUACGUAGGGGGCAAGCGUUAUCCGGAUUUACUGGGUGUAAAGGGAGCGUAGACGGUGAUGCAAGUCAGAAGUGAAAGCCCGGGGCUCAACCCCGGGACUGCUUUUGAAACUGUGUAACUGGAGUGCAGGAGAGGUAAGCGGAAUUCCUAGUGUAGCGGUGAAAUGCGUAGAUAUUAGGAGGAACACCAGUGGCGAAGGCGGCUUACUGGACAGUAACUGACGUUGAGGCUCGAAAGCGUGGGAAGCAAACAGGAUUAGAUACCCUCGUAA
rnacentral:rRNA from 1 species